rnacentral:lncRNA from 1 species
ACUUGUGUUUCGAGUUGCGUGGUCGUGCGGAGUUAUAUUUACCAAAUUUAAAUAUAAUCGUUUUCAAAAUUAAAUCAAUAUGGCUACUGGGUGUAAAAGAUAAAUCUUAUUCUAUCUGUUCUUAAUGAGUUUUAGAUAAUUUUAGUUGUAUUUCUUUGUAAUUUUGUGUUGUACAAAGAUUAAUUUAACAUUUUCUCUGGAAGUAUUAAUUUAGAAAGAUAAUAUGCUUCAUUGGUGUUGUGUUUUGAAGUGUGAAAUGCAAAGUAAUUGUGAUAGUUAAAUGCAAGAUAAAGUUCACUUUUAAACUGAACUAAAUAAGGUAUCUGAGAGACAACAAUGGUUAAAUGCAAUACAAUGUACAGGUUUUACUAGCGAAAUGAAAAUUUUCCUGUCCUGUCUGCUGUAAUCAUUUUAUAUCUGGAAAACCAGCCGACUUAAUCGAUAAUAACAAUCUCCAGAUUGGGUUCCUUCAAUAAAUAUGGUCUAUAAACACAAUGAAAUAAGUUCCCCAAACUCUAAAAUGGAGUGGUAUCAAAGGAGAAUUAAAGGGAAAAAUAUUCAUAUUGAAAUUAUUUAUAAGGCACUGGACUGUCUUAAAUUCUACAAUAAUACUAGAAUCAGCUGAGAGAAGUGGUCUACAAAAAACCAUGAAGGAAACGGAAUAUGUGGCUACGAAAGGCAAAAGAAAGGUUUACAAAGCAAAUAUGACACAUCUUUUUGAAAUAUUUAGGAAUAUCAGUAAAUUGCAUUGAAAAAAUGUAUGAAAAGAUUUUGUUCAAUAAAAAUGUUUAUAUUUA